rnacentral:ncRNA from 2 species
UAAUUGAAUAGUCAAACAGGUGCCCCAUGAAGGGGAGAAUAGGGAAGUCCGGACGGGUGGCAUACCACCCGGAAACGGCGCGGUCCCGCCACUGUAGUCGGGGAGCUUGUCCCGGUCACUGGCCGCAGGCAUUCACCGUGUACAGCUGCAGGUAAGAAAAGCAGCGCGGUUGAACGCCGGCCGGGAAGGCCGGGGGGAAGGGCAAUGAUCCGUUAGCCAGGAGACCUGCCUGUUUGAAGUGUGGUCG